UGCGUAGGCGGUCAUCUAAGUAGGGUGUGAAAUCCCUCGGCUCAACCGGGGAACUGCGCUCUAAACUGGGUGGCUUGAGUGAGAUAGGGGUGUGCGGAACUUCCGGUGGAGCGGUGAAAUGUGUUGAUAUCGGAAGGAACACCAGUAGCGAAAGCGGCACACUGGGUCUUAACUGACGCUGAGGCACGAAAGCUAGGGUAGCGAACG
rnacentral:rRNA from 1 species